CAGGAGUCUCGUCUCUUCGGUCUGGUCAGCGCAGAGUCACGCAUCGCGUCUGUCUGUGUGCGGUUCUGUGUGAACGAGCGGAUUCACGCGUGUGUUCUGCGGGAGUCUAGCGGCGGGAUCGCGCGUGUUUCAGCGCAGGUGUACAGGCUGCUGAUCUCCUGUGCCACACACUAUGUGACCAAACACCGUCGUCUGUUCUCAGCUUGUUCCGGAUUCAGUAGAGUCAAUCAGACAGGAGCUCCAGGUCUGCGUUAAAAUGUCUGCGUGUGGAGAGUUUGCAGAGCAUGUGUGGAAACCUGGCUCCUGUAAGAACUGCUUCCAUCCUCGCAGCGCUCACGGACAGACCGGCACGGCGGGAGGUGCUUGUGUCCGAACGAGUCUGAUCGGGGAAGACGAGGAUGGGGUGACGUCUCCCUCUCCGUAUAGCAAACCCACCAUCGCUGUCAGACCCACCAUGAUGAACAUGGAUGUCACAGCGGAGGUCAAGACGGAGAUGAAUACAGAACAGAACAACCAGGAGACCUCUGUAGGACUGAAGAAAGCUCUGGAUUUGGCUCCUCUGUACAUUGAUAGCAAUGGAUGUAAUAAAUCUUUUAGAGAAACCAUAAUACAAAACAACAUCUCCGGAAAGAAGUUCUCCCCAAAUGUUUGUUCUCCCACUGGAUUAUCCAAGGACUGCAUGUUUAUCAGCAAUAUAUUUCGGAGUCAAGAAGAUGGCUUUGUUCAACACAGUCUGAAAGAGAAUGGGAACAGUGACUCCUAUAGACAGAUUACCAAAGCGGUCAAGAGCACUUAUGCCAAUGGAGAUACAUAUCUUCAUAAUGAGACUGGAAACAGUGAUGGAGUUACAAGUCCUCUAAGGGCAUCUGCAGAGGAAAGGCAAGCCAGAACCACACCAGGGAAUGUGGUUAAUGGAUCGUCCAAUGAGACGCCAGGUACCUCACCAUCUCCAUUAACUCCAGACUCCUUCCACAAAAGCCUGUCGGACUCGUGCUCCAAUCGGAGCAGCGUGGAUUCAUUAGUGGGAUUCCAGAGUCCUCAAAAGUCUCCAAGCGUUCCACCAAACGGGCUCAAGGAAAGAGAGCCGAUCUAUGCUGAGAGCACCAAGAGAAAAAGACAACUCAAUGCUCAAAGCGAUGGGAAGGCUCCGCAGUCCUCUGAGUCUGAAACCGAAGUCAUCUUAAGCGACAAUCAAAGAGCAACUAUUACUGUCGUCGCCGCCCAUACUGAGGAAAACAACCGGACGUUUUACCUGAGCAGCCCGGAUUCGGCCGUAAGCACCCAAUGGAAUCACUUCAGCCCAACCAUGCCCAAAGACCAAUUAAGCCCGGCGUUCACUUGGCCAAAUGCUCCUGAUGCCACCGAAUCUACUCAACCCAAGCCUCAGUCCAGUCCCCCUGUUCCUCCUAAGAUCAGCACCCGUCCACCAAGACUUGGUACCUCCAGUCUCUCCUUACCGCUACCCGAGCUCAGCUUUCACGUGGUUCUUCCUCCAAAUCAGAUGACCUCACAAGUGGAUACCAAUGCUCAUGCUGUCCGACACAAGUCUAACAGCGCCACAAGUCUGGAGGGAUGUAUUGAGGAGGAAGAAGAGGAGGUCGACUCCAAGAGAUUGGGCUCUUGUGGUGGGCUAGGCGACUCCAUCAAUGCUCCUGCUGUUCCAUCUAGAGAAUGGACGAGUGAGAGCAAUGCAAUGCCAGGCACCGCCAACAAAAGCACCAGUCAAACGCCGGCAGAGGAUGGCAGAGCCAAAGAGAGCUUGCUCUCAAGCCCGUCUCCUCUCAUACACUCUAGUGAACCCAACACCAGCCGGGAUCCCGCACCGCCUCCGCCGCCUCCCAAAAAACACCACCGGGUGUGUAAGCGUCUCAGUGGCAGUAAUAUGGAUCUGGAGCGUGUCGGUCAGCGGGGGUCAGUGGAGAAUAUCAGCCAAUCACAGCGAGGACUGAAGUGCUGCAGCAGUGCAUCCAGAGACAGCCUGCAGACGCUCACACACACCGACCCCACCCUCCGCUCCAGCCCCUCCCCUUUCCCCAGCAGCCCGUUAGGCUCCGCCCCUUCGUCUCCGCGGCCCGACUCAUUUCCCUGCAGCAGCCUGGCCAAUCAGCUGCAGCCGCCUCCAUUACCACAGAAGAAGCAGGUGAACCGCACCGCCUCGGCUCCGAGCGACUCGGGUGAUGAUCCGCUCGCCCGUUCUUGCCCGCGUCUGGGGAACGUGACGUCCUGCUCGUCUCCGCAGCUCAACACGCUGCACCUGCACGCUCUGCUCAGGAACAUGGACAGCCGCGAGGGCAUCUACUCGAAGCUGGGCGGCCUGUACGCCGAGUCUCUGCGGCGGCUCGCGCUCAAGUGUGAGGAGCACUUCUCCAGCAGCCAGAGGAACACGCUGAGAUUCGACGAGAGCAACUGGUCACUCUUCAAACUCACCUGCAACAAACCCUGCUGUCUGUCCGGAGACGCCGUGUAUUACUCCGCCUCCUGCGCGUCAGACACUGCAAACACAUACGCCGUCAAGAUCUGUAAAGGCCAGGCUCCGGACAGUAAGCAGGUUCAUCUGUACGGUCUGUCUGUGCAGCAGAGCGUCCCGUCUCACUUCAAUCUGCAGCAGGACUGCGGUCACUUCAUCGCCUGUGUGCCGCGGAGCAUGUUACCGAGCGAGGAGAGCGGUCCGGCCGAGCAGGAGCGAGUGGUGGUCAUCACACGGGACGUCCCGCACCAGACCGUGGCUGAUUUCGUCUGUGAGUGGGAGUCGUUCCACCGCGCCCAGCCAGAGGUUUACGAGCGGCGCGUGUGUUUUCUUCUGCUGCAGCUGUGUGUGGGUCUGGAGCAUCUGAAAGCACAUGGCGGCACGCAUCGAGAUCUGUGCAUGGAGAACCUGCUGCUGGUGCAGCGUCCAGAUCCUCAGCAGCACAGCCUCCCUCGCCUCCUCAUCAGCAGCUUCAGCAAAGCCAAGCGCCGCGACGCAGACCAGCUGGAACGGCUCAAAGCAGACGACCCAUUUCUAAAGCGGGAUCACGCUCGGCUCGCGCCUGAGAUCGUCUCGGCAGCACAGUACCGCAAAUUCGACGAGUUUCAAACCGGCAUCCUGAUCUACGAGCUCCUGCACCGUCGUAACCCGUUCGAAGCCACUCCGGGCAAAUAUGACUACAGAUGUGAGGAGCUGCCUCCCAUCCCCGCCGCCUCCAUCUACUCGCCCGGCCUGCAGAGACUGGCUCACCUGCUGCUGGAGCCUGACCCCGGGCGCCGCAUCCACAUCCAGGACGCUCGCCGCAUCCUGCAGGCGCUGCUGUGGGGGCCACGGAGGGAGCUGCUGGAGCAGCCGUGGGUGUGUGGAGGAGCAGAAGGAGAUGGAGGAGCCGGGUGGAGGCUGGAGUCCAGGCACGACGGGCUGCUGAACUGGCUGGACGUGAAGCGUGCGCUGCUGAUGAUGAAGUUCGCUGAGCGCUCGCUGGAGCCGGAGAGGAGCGCUGAGCUGGAGGACUGGCUCUGCUGUCAGUAUUUCUCCAGCGCUAACCCCAGAUCCCUGUGUCAGACGGCAGAGCUGCUCUACAGCCUGCGCUUCACACACUGAGCUCAGAUCAACACUGUCUGUCUGAUCGUCAGAUCAACUGUGUAAAACACUGUGUUACUGCACUGGACUCAAACACCAGCACACACGGCACUUCAUUUCACUUUUACUAAUCAAUCUAUAUUUAUCAUUGCUUGCAGAGUGAAACUCAGUGUGUCUGAAAUGUACAGAUCACUUUUCACCCCAAAUUUAAAAAGGGAUAUAUGUGUGUGUGUGUGUAUGUUGUAUAAAAAUUCAAUGUAAAUUUAUUAUAUCUUUUCCUUUUUAAUUAAUAAGUAUAUAUAUAUAUAUAUAUAUAUAUAUAUAUAUAUAUAUAUAUAUAUAUAUGUGUGUGUGUAUGUGUGUACACUUUUCAUGUAAUUUCAAUUAUAUGUUUCAUUAAUAAUUAUAUUUCAUUAAUAAUAAUUUUAUAUAUAAAAUUUCAUAUAAAUUCCGUAUAUAUUCCCCUUUUAAUAAGAAAAUAUUUUCUACAUAAAUUAUUUAAGAUUUUAUUAUAUUGUGAUUAUUUUCAUGAAAA